rnacentral:lncRNA from 1 species
UUCUCCCCUGUCAAAAGAAUAACUCUGAACUUGCAAUAGGGGUAUUUAUAGGUGAGGAGCGCAUCAGAAAACAGGCCCAGGCCCAAUGGACCACCGCUUGGCAGUUUAAGUGUGCCGCCCGGCGGUUUGGCAAAAGCCUCAGAACCGCCCGACAGCAAUCGUCACCGCCCGGCAGUUUCCCUUAGAACCGCCCAGCGCCAAUCACCAUGCCUACUCCUCGCCCAGGGCCGCCCGACGGUUUAAGUGUGCCAUCGGGCGGUGCGUCGACUCUUGAAAUCUUCAUUUUCCUGC